GAUGAACGCUGGCGGCGUGCUUAACACAUGCAAGUCGAGCGGAGUGAAUCAGAAGAAGUUUUCGGAUGGAAUCUGAUUGACUUAGCGGCGGACGGGUGAGUAACGCGUGGGUAACCUGCCUUACACUGGGGGAUAACAGUUAGAAAUGACUGCUAAUACCGCAUAAGCGCACCAUAUCGCAUGAUAAGGUGUGAAAAACUCCGGUGGUGUAAGAUGGACCCGCGUCUGAUUAGCUAGUUGGUAAGGUAAUGGCUUACCAAGGCGACGAUCAGUAGCCGACCUGAGAGGGUGACCGGCCACAUUGGGACUGAGACACGGCCCAAACUCCUACGGGAGGCAGCAGUGGGGAAUAUUGCACAAUGGGCGAAAGCCUGAUGCAGCGACGCCGCGUGAGUGAAGAAGUAUUUCGGUAUGUAAAGCUCUAUCAGCAGGGAAGAAAAUGACGGUACCUGACUAAGAAGCCCCGGCUAACUACGUGCCAGCCGCCGCCGUAACAC
rnacentral:rRNA from 1 species